GCUCAGGAUGAACGCUGGCGGCGUGCCUAAUACAUGCAAGUCGAGCGAAUGGAUUGAGAGCUUGCUCUCAAGAAGUUAGCGGCGGACGGGUGAGUAACACGUGGGUAACCUGCCCAUAAGACUGGGAUAACUCCGGGAAACCGGGGCUAAUACCGGAUAACAUUUUGAACUGCAUGGUUCGAAAUUGAAAGGCGGCUUCGGCUGUCACUUAUGGAUGGACCCGCGUCGCAUUAGCUAGUUGGUGAGGUAACGGCUCACCAAGGCAACGAUGCGUAGCCGACCUGAGAGGGUGAUCGGCCACACUGGGACUGAGACACGGCCCAGACUCCUACGGGAGGCAGCAGUAGGGAAUCUUCCGCAAUGGACGAAAGUCUGACGGAGCAACGCCGCGUGAGUGAUGAAGGCUUUCGGGUCGUAAAACUCUGUUGUUAGGGAAGAACAAGUGCUAGUUGAAUAAGCUGGCACCUUGACG
rnacentral:rRNA from 1 species